ensembl:snoRNA SNORD36 Small nucleolar RNA SNORD36
AUGCAGUGAUGACAUGAAUUUAAUCAUCUGAAUUACAGUGUUGAGUUUUGAGCUUUUUAACCCUGAGCAUU